rnacentral:rRNA from 1 species
CCUACGGGGGGCAGCAGUGGGGAAUAUUGGGCAAUGGGCGCAAGCCUGACCCAGCAACGCCGCGUGAAGGAAGAAGGCUUUCGGGUUGUAAACUUCUUUUCUCAGGGACGAAGCAAGUGACGGUACCUGAGGAAUAAGCCACGGCUAACUACGUGCCAGCAGCCGCGGUAAUACGUAGGUGGCAAGCGUUAUCCGGAUUUACUGGGUGUAAAGGGCGUGUAGGCGGGACUGCAAGUCAGAUGUGAAAACCACGGGCUCAACCUGUGGCCUGCAUUUGAAACUGUAGUUCGUGAGUACUGGAGAGGCAGACGGAAUUCCUAGUGGAGAGGUGAAAUGCGUAGAGAUUAGGAGGAACACCAGUGGCGAAGGCGGUCGGCUGGACAGCAAAUGACGUGGAGGCGCGAAAGCGUGGGGAGCAAACAGGAUUAGAUACCCCAGUAGUC